CAUUUAUGUCAUUAUCUAAGUCACUGAUAAAAGUUACAUAACUCCAUGACUCUUGAACUGGAAAAUACCUAUGGGCCAUCUACUCAUUAUUUUCCAGAUGAAGAAAUUGGGGUCAUCUAGAGAAGAGAAGUGAAAGUCAUGUUGACAAUAAGCAUCAAAGGAAGGUCAUAGGAGCACACAUUUCUGAUCAACACCAUUAGUAAAUGCUGACCAACUCGAGUUUCGGGAAUAGCACUGCUUCCAGCCCAAUGCCCUCAGCCAUCAUCCUCAGAAGCAAUCAGCUGUGGAGAUUCAGCCUGGCAAGAUUUAGAAAGUGAAGUUCUUGACACCCAAAUCCUCGGAACUUUCAGAUAGUUCAGUAGCAGAAAUUGUCAGUGGAAAUUAAAGAAGAAGCAUUACUUGCUGUACCCUAAGGUCUAGGGGAUCUUUCCAGCUGUUGUCUACCCCAUUAGAAUGUGAAUGCAGGACUGCCUUAUUUCUCUGUUUGUAAAUCCAAUGCUUCCCAAAUGAUAACUGCUUAAUAAAUGUUAAAACUUCUGGUUAGUGACUCUUGGAGAAAAGUAAUCAAA